AGCGUAUAUUAAAGUUGUUGCAGUUAAAAAGCUCGUAGUUGGAUUUCUGUUGUAUAAUUUAUAAUAUUACCAAGGUAAUUAUUAUAUUAUCAACAUCCUUCCUAUUAUAUUCUAAAUAUAUAGGAAAUUUUACUUUGAGAAAAUUAGAGUGCUUAAAGCAGGCAACUGCCUUGAAUACUCCAGCAUGGAAUAAUAAGUAAGGACUUUUGUCUUUCUUAUUGGUUCUAGGACAAAAGUAAUGGUUAAUAGGGACAGUUGGGGGCAUUCGUAUUUAACAGCCAGAGGUGAAAUUCUUAGAUUUGUUAAAGACGAACUACUGCGAAAGCAUUUGCCAAGGAUGUUUUCAUUAAUCAAGAACGAAAGUUAGGGGAUCGAAGACGAUCAGAUACCGUCGUAGUC
rnacentral:rRNA from 1 species